GGUGGAGCCUGCGGUUCAAUUGGAUUCAACGCCGGAAAACUCACCGGAGGAGACAGCAAGAUGAAGGUCAGGCUGAAGACCUUACCCGAUUAGCUGAGAGGUGGCGCAUGGCCGUCGGCAGUUCGUGUCGUGAAACAUCCUGUUAAGUCAGGCAACGGGCGAGACCCGCGCUCACAGUUGCCAGCAUGUUCUUCGGAACGAUGGGCACUCUGCGAGGACUGCCACCGCUAAGGUGGAGGAAGAAGCGGGCCACGGUAGGUCAGUACGCCCCGAAUCUUCCGGGCUACACGCGUGCUACAAUGGACAGUACAAUGGGUAUCAACCCCGAAAGGGGAAGGUAAUCUCCUAAAACUGCCCUCAGUUGGGAUCGAGGGCUGCAACUCGCCCUCGUGAACCAGGAAUCCGUAGUAAUCGCCUCUCAAAAUGAGGCGGUGAAUAUGUCCCUGCUCCUUGCACAC
rnacentral:rRNA from 1 species